rnacentral:lncRNA from 1 species
ACAUGGACACUAAUAAGUUAGAAAUAAAGGUUUUGUAAUAUGGGAAAGAGGACUGAACUAGAAAAUAGACUCAUAAAUAAUCAGCCUAGGAGUGAUAUUGCUGUGAGAUAAAAGAAGAAAACAAAGGUCAGAAUCUUGGAAAACACCCUCUUUAGAGUCUCGCUACUCAAAACGUGGUCAGUGGCCCAGCAGCACUGACAUGAGGAUGUUAGUUAGAAACUCAGAAUCUCAGGCUCCACCCCAGACCUGCUGAACCAGCAUCUUCAACUUAACAAGAACCCGAAGAGAUUUGUGUCACAUCAAAAAGUUUGAGAAGCUCUGAUCUAGGUGAGCCAAGCCAGCAAAGAAAGGGGAUGGAGCAGAAAAUGGGAGGAGAAUAGGGUAACGCAGAAUCAUCAAGACAAGGUAAAUUGGAGUUUCACAAAAACAGGGCUGGAAGGAGUGUUGCUCAACAAUAUCCAAAACCACAGAGGUUGAAAAGCACAAGGAAAGAAGGUAUGUUUGCACUUUGUGAUUAGGUAGUAGGGUCUUUGAGACCACAUUGUUCUUAUUGAAAGCCUGGGAAGAAAGAUCCCCUUUCUGGUCAAGUUUAGUCUAGGGAUCCAUCCCAUCUUCCCCAGUUCCCACGUGUAUGGGACAUGUCGAGAUAAGUAGAUAGAUUGGACAGUGGGAGAAAGUAGUUCUCUUCCAGUUGCUUCUAUUUUCUCAGCAAAGUGAGGAGCAAGAUCAUUUUGGCAGACUGCUAAUUGUCCAUCACAAUUUAGUCUCCCUUUCUCCCUGAAAACACAGACUGCUUUUCUCAGCCUCUCUUUCAGUUGCAUAUGGUCAAGUAUUAAGUUAUAGAACGUGAGCAGAUGUUAUGUCUGCCACUGUCAGGCCAAGGCGUUUACUUUGAGAGUACUUGUGCCUCUUUCAUGCAUUUUCCUUUCUGCCAGCUGGACCCUGGACACGGUGACUCUGAUUCAAUUAUGCAGAUGACCACAAACCUCUGGGGUUGGCAGAGCCACAAGAAAGAAGGUGCCUGGAUGAAGGAGAGCUACCCACUGACCUGGACACCCAAUUAUGCUGUAUGUUCCUUGGUGGAUGGAUCUGUGGUUUAUUAAGCUUUGUUUCUUUUAGCAUUUAGCACUCAGCAUGAAGACCUAGCACACAGAAGUUUAUUGAAUAAAUUAAAUUUGUCAGGAUUAAUAA